UAGCACCAUUUGAAAUCGG
rnacentral:ncRNA from 2 species